rnacentral:piRNA from 1 species
UCCAAAAUGUGCUCUAGAAGCAGGCCAUGG